GUGACUUUCACUUUCACCCGGAGAAGGUGCCCUAGCCCCUCCCAAGCUAAACUGCUCCCAACUGCGGCCUGAGGGUUUCUUGCUGCUGCUGGUUUCUGCUCAGACACUCCGUUUUCCACUGACUUAAAACAACGAAAUGGAAUUCUGGACCUGGUUCAGAUCUGAAGACGCCUUUGCCUAGCAGUGCAGAGAGCCAUG
rnacentral:lncRNA from 1 species